rnacentral:rRNA from 1 species
UACGUAGGGGGCAAGCGUUGUCCGGAUUUAUUGGGCGUAAAGAGCGUGUAGGCGGCCUGGAAGGUCCGUUGUGAAAACUCGAGGCUCAACCUCGAGACGCCGAUGGAAACCAUCUGACUAGAGUCCGGAAGAGGAGAGUGGAAUUCCUGGUGUAGCGGUGAAAUUCGUAGAUAUUGGGAAGAACACCGGUGGCGAAGGCGGCGACCUGGUCUUUUACUGACGCUGAGGCGCGAAAGCGUGGGGAGCAAACAGG